AGAUUGAACGCUAGCGGGAUGCUUUACACAUGCAAGUCGAACGGCAGCGCGGACUUCGGUCUGGCGGCGAGUGGCGAACGGGUGAGUAAUAUAUCGGAACGUGCCCAGUAGCGGGGGAUAACUACGCGAAAGCGUGGCUAAUACCGCAUACGCCCUACGGGGGAAAGGGGGGGAUCGCAAGACCUCUCACUAUUGGAGCGGCCGAUAUCAGAUUAGCUAGUUGGUGAGGUAAAGGCUCACCAAGGCGACGAUCUGUAGCUGGUUUGAGAGGACGACCAGCCACACUGGGACUGAGACACGGCCCAGACUCCUACGGGAGGCAGCAGUGGGGAAUUUUGGACAAUGGGGGAAACCCUGAUCCAGCCAUCCGCGU
rnacentral:rRNA from 1 species